rnacentral:rRNA from 1 species
AUUGAACGCUGGCGGCAUGCCUUACACAUGCAAGUCGAACGGCAGCACGGGUGCUUGCACCUGGUGGCGAGUGGCGAACGGGUGAGUAAUAUAUCGGAACGUACCUUAUCGUGGGGGAUAACGCAGCGAAAGUUGCGCUAAUACCGCAUACGCCCUGAGGGGGAAAGCGGGGGACCGUAAGGCCUCGCGCGAUUAGAGCGGCCGAUGUCUGAUUAGCUUGUUGGUGAGGUAAAAGCUCACCAAGGCGAUGAUCAGUAGCUGGUCUGAGAGGACGAUCAGCCACACCGGGACUGAGACACGGCCCAGACUCCUACGGGAGGCAGCAGUGGUGAAUUUUGGACAAUGGGGGCAACCCUGAUCCAGCAAUGCCGCGUGAGUGAAGAAGGCCUUCGGGUUGUAAAGCUCUUUUGUCAGGGAAGAAACAGCAGCUCUAACACAGUCUGCGAAUGACGGUACCUGAAGAAUAAGCACCGGCUAACUACGUGCCAGCCGCCGCUGUAA